rnacentral:rRNA from 1 species
GUAGGGGCCAAGCGUUGUUCGGAUUUAUUGGGCGUAAAGAGCUCGUAGGCGGUUCGGCAAGUCAGCUGUGAAAUCUCCACGCUCAACGUGGAGAGGUCAGCUGAGACUGCCGUGACUAGAGUCCGGUAGGGGAGUGUGGAAUUCCCGGUGUAGCGGUGAGAUGCGCAGAUAUCGGGAGGAACACCAGUAGCGAAGGCGGCACUCUGGGCCGGUACUGACGCUGAGGAGCGAAAGCGUGGGGAGCAAACAGGAUUAGAUACCCUGGUAGUCCACGCCGUAAACGUUGGGCACUAGGUGUGGGACUCUAUCGACGGGUUCCGUGCCGUAGCUAACGCAUUAAGUGCCCCGCCUGGGGAGUACGGCCGCAAGGCUA